rnacentral:tRNA from 1 species
GGAGGGGUGCCGGAGUGGUUGAACGGGGCGGUCUCGAAAACCGUUGUGCGGGUAACCCCUGUACCGAGGGUUCGAAUCCCUCCCCCUCCGCC